ACACACACACACAUAUAUAUAUAUAUAUAUAUGUGUGUGUGUGUGUGUGUAUUUCAGAGCUGUU
rnacentral:miRNA from 1 species